CGCACGCUCAGGAGGAACGUUCUCAUUCCUCUUCUAGAGAAGCGAUCACUUAGAGUAGCUCAGCUUUAAAAUCUGCAGCACGGCUCCGGCGAACACGGGGCACAGAAACGUGUUGUGGAGUCCGCGCCCAAGCGCCGCCAUGACCCCCGUCAGCUUCAGCCAGCAGAGAUCCCCGCCCGAGCACUUCAAAAGCUGCACAGAAAGAUGGAAACAGUCCAGCUUAAGUUAUUAUCAAAGACCUUGCGUAUAAACCAAGGUGAAACAAAACUGCAGAUGCAUCGAAAGCAGCAACUGAGCCCGUGUUUGAGCUGUGGGUACUGCCUGGUUCAUUCGGACACAGAUGGCACGCUGCGGUCUGUGUGGAUUAGAAUUUCUCUGUUGGCUAAGACGGCCUAAACUUACACUCAGUUCAACAGCCUUUCCCCUCGUGCCAAAAGGGUCGCACACGACCAAAUGCUAUGUUGUUCUGUUUGAACACAAAACCAAAUAAUAUAUAUAUAUAUUUUUUUUUAACAAAAAUAUUUUUCCCGUUAUUUAUUUAUUUUUGAAGUCACUAGCUGCUUUGUUCUCUGCAAAUAUUUACAGAAGAUUAUUUAUUUUUUAUUUUUUGCAUUUUGGUUCCACUGAGCGACUCUGGCAGGAAAGAGCAGACAUUUCACACAAAGUAAAUAUUAUAUACGUUGUUUUCAUCCAUCCUCAAUCAUACAGAACUCACAUAUAAAAGAUACAGAAAACAAAAGGACAUGUUUCAGAUGGUGCCAGUAGGCAGCUUUGACUUUGUGUUACUGCACAGAACGAGGUUUCGUAAGGGUUGUAGAAUUCAUCUACUUUAAAGAUCUGGUUGCAACAGUUCAAAUAGAAGCUGCAGUUUUUUGCUCCAGGGUAUUUCUGACAACACCUAUUUUCAAUAUGGUGUCAGGAAGCAAGUUGAGAAACAAUAUGAAACCUGGCAGAUUUGGCUUUCUCUCGUCAGGGGAACAUUGCUCAUUGUACAAAAAGAACAAAAAGAAAGAAAUUAUUUAAAAUAUAUAAUUUAUUUCAGGACGUUUUUUGGGCAAAAGCCCUCCGGUAUCCUCAUUCACACACUUCUUUCUAUACUUUGAAACUCAAGAAUGAGUGUUUGCAAAACUUUGAAAAUGGGCAAAAGAAAGUUUUGCGAAUGCCAAAAUACUGGAUCAACAGGCUUUAGAGCACAUGGGAGUUUGAGUGCCUGGAGACUUGAAAAUGAGGGGAAAAGGGCUGCAAAUAAACAGAUUAUAUCAAUCCGGUCAGUGACGAGGGAGGCAGAUUGUUACAGCAAUUAGAGGAAUGGCUUCAGAGACUCCAGACUCCAAUCCAGGGCUGGACCUCCUCUCACUAUCGGUACAUUAAAAGAGCAUUGUUUGAAAAGACUCUCUUUUCAUUUAUAUUGUUGUUAUUAUUAUCAUUGUGUGUUCAAUAUUUAAGUCUGCGCAUUUUAUUUCCUUCAGUAUUUUUACGGAGUACAGUAGCUACGGGAAGUGAACUAACAGCAAUGUUUAAGAAGCUGCUUGUUUUCCCUGCUGCUGUUAAUGAUGUAGCUCUCAGAGUGUAAAGCAGGGUCUUCAGAGCUCUGUACAGACCUCCAGUGACGAAGCUUCAUGUAGUGACUCAACAGCACGGCCUUGUUUUUCUCUACCCAGAUUUAUCAUCUACUUCCUGCCUCUCCUCAGAUGAACUUGUCGUUUUUUUUUUUAUUAUGUUCAGGCUUGCCUGGUUUCCCGCUUGUGUGUCAGGCAAUCAGGGCUUGUCUGGUCAGACAAAAACACAGCCGUGCUCCACUCGACACCACGUACACCAGACUUUGAACUGCAGCAAAGUUAUACUUUAAUGAACAGCAUUAUCUGUCGAUCUGUAUUAUUUUUUCUUAUUAUCCAGCACUAAACAGCACCACAAAACCCGACUGGUGUUCUGAAAAGCCUGCCGAUCACUGAAGGAAAGCAGAAAAAGUUUGCUUUGCUCAAAAACACUCCACAGCUGUAUUUUAAUUUCAACAACAAAAAAAAAAGAAAGAAAGAAAGGCAGAGUCUCAUUUCACCCUCGCUCACUCACAUGCCCGCUGUGCUCAGUGGCGACACUCUGCACAAUCACAGUUUCGCACAGCUAGUGUGUUCCUGGUAUCGGAUUGCGUUCCGUUGUGGAAUAUUAUAUAUCAGUGCAUUAUAACUGCCGGGUAAUUGUUUGGAAACUACACUGGUGUGAAGAGUGAAGUCAGGUCAAGUCUGUACAGAUCAGUUCAGCAGCCAUGACGUGCGUUUCUCGGCCCUGCAUAUGAAGUGGAGAAACAGUGGCGAGGAAAAGGGCUUGUGAUUCUGGGUUUUCCACAGACUUGUAUUCUUGCCCUACAUGCAGCCAUUGCAAAGACUAUUCUUAUCAUUCCUGAGUGAUCCAACAGGAACCACAUUACAAUGGGGGCACUUCAACAUUUUCAACAGGUCAAGACCACACCGCCCUGCUAGAAAGAGAACACACCGCCGUUUCUGAUUUAAAAACAGCAAUCAGCAAUUCAAUCAAACCACCAGCAGCCAAAUAUCAGCGUUACACCUUAAACAGCACACGAGCAGAGAGCUCUUGGUCUCUGCUGUCCUGGCAGUUCAUAUAGAGUUCUUGUUUAUAGGGGUGGAUAUCAUUCUCACUCCUCUCUCUACCCCCCUGUCAGAGCUACAGUACUGAAUCCUCAGGAGACCACAGGCUGAAGUCAAGCGAGGUCACUGUCAGACUAGCUUCCUGUUACAAUCCUUUUUUUUUUUUUUUUUGCAAGUAGGGCGUUCGCUGUACAGCAACACGAUGACAUGGAUCUAACUAGACCAUGUGAAUCAGAUCAUUCACACGGAGAACACGAAGAGCACAGCUCCGUUUAGAGCCUCGUUCGUGCCCAGGGUGGAGGGCAUCAUUUGGAAGAAUUUGGAAUGAAUCGAAAGCCCACUUGGUCAGACCUCCCCCUUUGAAAAGCAAACACCCCGUGGAAGCCCAGCCCAGCAGGGAGAGGAAAGCACACUUCUCUGCCCACAAAAGCAGCUGUGUAAUGGCGGCGCGGAACGCAGCCCAGUGAGAACGGGUUUCAGGGCGCGCUUUGAAAGAGGAAUGGGCUCUUGCUGGGCUGGGUUGGCUCAGCUGUGAUGCUGUCCUUGGGGCUGAGGUAGUAGAUUGAAUAGUUGUGGCGUGUGAGUCGUCCCUCUGAGAUAACUAUACAAUCUACUGUCUUUCCUAAGGAGACAGUCGAAUCACCUGCCAAUGAAGAAGGAAUUCACAGCUCGUCGCGUUUCAGUCAAUGCAGUCUCGUCUUAUUGCUUUGUAACUGAACUUUGAAUCUAUCGUUACGUUGAGACGGGGGGGGGUCUUUUGUAAUGAUGUGACCCGCAGGGGCUCGCGUGAACCCCUUUAUUCUCAGAACGGGGGUCUUUAAAUCCCCUACGGUACAGAGGGAUGAUCAAGUAGUUCAAGGAUCAUUAAAAGCAAUGAACUGUAAAUCCUCUGUAUACCAGAAUUCCUAUAUGUGAAGCCUCGUCUACAGCGAUCAUAAUAACUAGCCUAUUACAGAGCUCCUCCUUUCUACCAUGGAGCCGUGUAUAAUGCAGCAUGGCUGGAGCGCCCCUUUGCCUCAGUGCCAGUACACUAGCACUUUCAUUCUUCUAACUGGGGCUCCCCAGCUACAGUGAUAUAAAGCAGGAGCAUUGUAACCUGUUAAUACUCACAGCAACACUCUGACUUGUUCAUCAUUUCCACUUCAAUUGCAGGGGAGGCGGUUAAUGAUUCCCAACUCGAUUUCAAGUUGUUUAAAAGGAACGUUACAGACAACACAGAAUGUUAACUGUUUCUAAAUAUAUAUAAAAAACAAAAAAACAAAAAAAACAGCGAAGCGUUAAUAGUUACUAAACCAAACCAACCAAGGCAGAUACAAAGAGCUACGUGUAUCUGAGCAUCAUGUGGGAGCCCAGAGGGACAGAAUAGAAAUGCUGCUUUUCUUGAGGGCAGUCUGAGGGCACGAGGGCAGCUACACUGGGUUGAGACGGCUCCCUGGUAACACCUGUGGUGUGUUGAUGCUACCGCUAGGAGUUCUUCUAACGCACUGCUGUUGGGAAGGGGCAGUCCUUGACUCCCCCUGAAAGCAGGGACCCAGUGGACGAGCACGCAAAGGACACACGUCGGGCAGCGUCCAGGACGGAAGGAAGGUGUGGAGGCUGCAGUGUUCCCGCGGGGUGAGGUAGUAGGUUGUAUAGUUUGGUGGGAGGGAUAGUAUCCCAUUCAGGUGAUAACUAUACAGACUAUUGCCUUCCUUGAGGAGCUCACACGCACACAGAGCAGCAGCGUCAGCAAGGGAACGAGGAGGAAGGAGGCCGCCUCCGGCACAGGACAACUCUCAUUGCUAUAAUGUUAUUAUAAUGAUUAUUGUAUUUACAACGUGUACUGCAAUGCAAGGCAGAAUAAAUAAAUAUAUAAACA